rnacentral:rRNA from 1 species
UACGGAGGGUGCAAGCGUUAUCCGGAUUUACUGGGUUUAAAAGGUGCGUAGGCGGGCCAUUAAGUCAGUGGUGAAAGCUCCGAGCUUAACUCGGAAACUGCCAUUGAUACUAUUGGUCUUGAAUUCGGUCGAGGUUGGCGGAAUGUGUCGUGUAGCGGUGAAAUGCUUAGAUAUGACACAGAACACCGAUUGCGAAGGCAGCUAACUAAGCUUUAACUGACGCUGAGGCACGAAAGUGUGGGGAUCAAACAGG